UGUGGCGUGAGGAAGUCGGUCUCCGCGGUCGGUUCGUCGGCGCCGAGGUCCUUCUGAUCGAGGCCUCCGCGCGUCCCAGGGCGGGUGUCAGGCCUCUUCGGGCGCCGUCCGGCCGCGGAAUUCGGAUGGCUUCCGGGAGUCGGGUUGUUCUGUAUUGCAGCCCCAAGGCGGGUGGUAAACUCCAUCCAAGGCUAAAUACCGGCACGAGACCGAUAGCGAACAAGUAC
rnacentral:rRNA from 1 species